rnacentral:rRNA from 1 species
CAGAGGUCUCAAGCGUUGUUCGGAUUUAUUGGGCGUAAAGGGCGCGUAGGCGGCGGGGUAAGUCGGGUGUGAAAUCUCAGGGCUCAACCCUGAAACUGCACUUGAUACUGCCGUGCUUGAGGACUGGAGAGGAGACUGGAAUUUACGGUGUAGCGGUGAAAUGCGUAGAUAUCGUAGGAAGACCAGUGGCGAAGGCGGGUAUCUGGACAGCUCCUGACGCUGAGGCGCGAAGGCUAGGGGAGCAAACGGG